GAAAGAAUAAACCCAAAGAACAACGAUUUUUUUGUUUUUUAGUUACUGCAAUUGAGCAGAGCAUAUUUACAAUGGGAAAGGCACAAGAUAUAUAUUAGAGAAGCUUUGAUAUUACUUGGCAGGAGGUCCAGAAGGCUUUAGAAGCAGCAUUUAGAAUCACAGGGUUCUGGUAUAGCCCCACUGCAGUAGCUCCCCAGGAUGCCACAUUAUAAAUGACCUUGCUUCCA
rnacentral:misc_RNA from 1 species